AGUGAACGCUGGCGGUAGGCCUAACACAUGCAAGUCGAACGGCAGCACAGGAGAGCUUGCUCUCUGGGUGGCGAGUGGCGGACGGGUGAGGAAUACAUCGGAAUCUGCCCAGUCGUGGGGGAUAACGUAGGGAAACUUACGCUAAUACCGCAUACGACCUUCGGGUGAAAGAGGGGGAUCGCAAGACCUCUCUCGUUUGGAUUAGCCGAUGUCGGAUUAGCUAGUUGGCGGGGUAAUGGCCCACCAAGGCGACGAUCCGUAGCUGGUCUGAGAGGAUGAUCAGCCACACUGGAACUGAGACACGGUCCAGACUCCUACGGGAGGCAGCAGUGGGGAAUAUUGGACAAUGGGCGCAAGCCUGAUCCAGCCAUACCGCGUGGGUGAAGAAGGCCUUCGGGUUGUAAAGCCCUUUUGUUGGGAAAGAAAUCUUUCAGGCUAAUACCCUGGGAGGAUGACGGUACCCAAAGAAUAAGCACCGGCUAACUUCGUG
rnacentral:rRNA from 1 species